UACGAAGGGGGCUAGCGUUAUUCGGAAUCACUGGGCUUAAAGGGUGUGUAGGCGGGCUAUUAAGUCAGUGGUGAAAUCUCCGGGCUCAACCUGGAAACUGCCAUUGAUACUAUUAGUCUUGAAUUUUGUUGAGGUAGGCGGAAUAAGUCAUGUAGCGGUGAAAUGCAUAGAUAUGACUUAGAACACCAAUUGCGAAGGCAGCUUGCUAAACAAAUAUUGACGCUGAGGCACGAAAGCGUGGGGAUCAAACAGG
rnacentral:rRNA from 1 species